rnacentral:tRNA from 1 species
UCCCUUGUAGCUCAGAUUGUAAAGCACCUGGCUGCAAUGCAGGAGACCCAGGUUCAAUCCCUGGGUUGGGAA